rnacentral:misc_RNA from 1 species
UGCAGGAAGCCUUGUUUCGUCCCGUGACCGUGAGUGUGAAGAGUCUUCCUCCGUCUAUUGGAGCGGCGGCCACGGCCCAACACCACACUCAUCCCCAGCCCUCCCCGCUCCACCACACCCUCUCUCUCCCACCACACUAUUUUCUCAAGCAUCUCCAGCCAUUAUUGGUGUAUAUAAGCGCCUUGGGUUAGUUUGGCAGCGUCAGUUGGUUAUGGAGUGAGGACGACGUAGGUGACUGGCGAUGCUUGGUUGUUUAAGCGUCUAGUUCCCCAGGAUUUAUUGAUCACAAUAUCAGUUGUAAACAUUCGCCAUGGCAGGUGGUGGGAGUGGAGGUUUCCUGGCAAUUGUCUUGGUGUUUUUCCUUCGCUAUGUGACUGCCAAGCCCUCGACCGGUACUGACAUCGAGCUGGAUGAAAAGUACUUGAUCACGCAUCGUAUUGACAGUCUCAACAUUUUGUUAUACACCUUUUUGCUCAUUUUAACGGUGGUGACAAUAUGGAUCUUCAAAUACCGACGUGCACGGUACCUUCACGAGACCGGACUCGCUGUCAUAUACGGAUUAAUAGUGGGAGCCAUAUUGAGGUACAGUGGAGACAGUACUUCACUAACUCACAUGAGAGUAGUACCAGAGGACACUGCAUACAAUGACAAUGUACCACCCGACUCGCUGUGGCUAAAGUAUAAUCGGGGUAAUGCUAGCUUGGGCAGAAUAUACGCUUACUCUUUUAAAGGCGAGAUUCCAGAGGCAUUGGAAAAUGAAAUUGUUCAAAAGGCUACUUUUGAUCCAGAGAUCUUCUUCAACAUUCUGCUGCCACCCAUAAUCUUCAGUGCAGGCUACAGUCUUAAGAGGAAACAUUUCUUUAAGAAUCUUGGUGCCAUCUUCACAUUUGCAUUCCUUGGAACAACUAUAUCUACUUUUGUUGUUGGUGGUUUGGUAUAUGGUUUCCUGUGGCUUAUCAGUUCUUCCAUCACCUUCAUCGACUGCCUGCUGUUUGGCGCACUUAUCUCUGCAACAGAUCCAGUCACAAUUUUGGCUAUUUUCUCCGAUCUUCAUGUUGAUGUGAACCUGUAUGCUCUUGUAUUUGGUGAAAGUGUCUUAAAUGAUGCAGUGGCAAUCGUGUUAUCCAGUGCCAUAGAAAGUUACGGGAGUGACACUGGAGGCUUUGAGACUUCUGCAUUCUUUUUGGCAAUACUCAAUUUUCUGUGGAUCUUCAGUAUGUCCUUCCUCAUAGGCUCAGUUAUGGGUUGCCUCACUGCGAUACUCACAAAAUUCACCCGCCUGAAAGACUUUCCUCUACUGGAGACUGCUUUAUUUGUUCUCAUGUCAUACUCAACAUUCCUGAUGGCAGAGGCUGCAGAUCUAACAGGAAUUGUUGCAGUUCUAUUCUGUGGUAUUUGUCAAGCGCACUACACAUACAACAAUCUCUCAGUGGAGAGUCGUGUAGCUACCAAAACGCUUUUUGAAUUACUCAACUUCUUGUCGGAAAAUUUCAUCUUCUCUUACAUUGGUGUCUCAAUGUUUACCUUCGACCAUCACAAGUGGGAACCAGGAUUCAUUUGCAUUGCAUUUUUGGCCGUCAUCGCAGGAAGAUUCUUAAAUAUUUACCCGCUCUCCUGCUUGCUCAAUAUUGGACGCCGCCCUAAGAUUCCUGUCAAAUUCAUGAACAUGCUGUUCUUCUCAGGUCUAAGAGGAGCUAUUGCCUUUGCUCUGGCAAUCCGCAACACAAGCAGUGAUGCACGAAAGUCCAUCUUGACAACGACAUCUCUCAUUGUAAUAGUUACUGUAAUUUUGUGUGGUGGACUUACCACACAAGUCUUGUCAUGGCUAGGAAUACCUGUUGAUGUUGAGGAUGACGAGACCCAUCAUCUGAACCAGUUCCAGCCCAUCAGAAAUGAUUACAAAAGCAUUGAAGGGUCCUGGGGUGCUGGUGGAGAAGAGGGAGAGGAGUGUGGGACAGACUGCAACAAUGUGGGCAAGUUUGAGAAAGCUUGGCUCUUCCGCAUUUGGGCCAAGUUUGAUGUGAAGUUCAUGAAGCCUUUCCUAACCAACAGUAGACCCACCCUUUUGGACACAACACCGCUGUGUUGUGCUCCACUAGCAAGACUACUUACAACCACAGAACAGCUCACACAGGUACCAGCGUUAUGGCCAGCAGGACCGGGAUCCUCUCAAUGAUGACCUGCCAUUAGACGACACACUCUUAGGAUCAGGUGGAGUGCGUACUUCCAUAGAUUCUAGUAGCAAGACGGACCCAUCGGCUCUGGUUCUUGGAUACUAAAGCGGGAGCGUGACUCUGCAGAUAAUCGUAGCCAACUCAGUAUUGACGCCCAGAAUUUCAUGUAACUAACGACCCUGUUCACCAAUCACCACCACCACCAC